rnacentral:rRNA from 1 species
GGGAGUGAGAAUGCAGGCAUGAGUAGCGACAAGGCAAGUGAGAACCUUGCCCGCCGAAAGACCAAGGGUUCCUGGGCCAGGCCAGUCCGCCCAGGGUGAGUCGGGACCUAAGGCGAGGCCGACAGGCGUAGUCGAUGGACAACGGGUUGAUAUUCCCGUACCCGUGUGUGGGCGCCCGUGACGAAUCAGCGGUACUAACCACCCAAAACCGGAUCGAUCACUCCCCUUCGGGGGUGUGGAGUUCUGGGGCUGCGUGGGAACUUCGCUGGUAGUAGUCAAGCGAAGGGGUGACGCAGGAAGGUAGCCGUACCAGUCAGUGGUAACACUGGGGCAAGCCGGUAGGGAGAGCGAUAGGCAAAUCCGUCGCUCACUAAUCCUGAGAGGUGACGCAUAGCCGGUUGAGGCGAAUUCGGUGAUCCUCUGCUGCCAAGAAAAGCCUCUAGCGAGCACACACACGGCCCGUACCCCAAACCGACACAGGUGGUCAGGUAGAGCAUACCAAGGCGUACGAGAUAACUAUGGUUAAGGAACUCGGCAAAAUGCCCCCGUAACUUCGGGAGAAGGGGGACCGGAAUAUCGUGAACACCCUUGCGGUGGGAGCGGGAUCCGGUCGCAGAAACCAGUGAGGAGCGACUGUUUACUAAAAACACAGGUCCGUGCGAAGUCGCAAGACGAUGUAUACGGACUGACGCCUGCCCGGUGCUGGAAGGUUAAGAGGACCCGUUAACCCGCAAGGGUGAAGCGGAGAAUUUAAGCCCCAGUAAACGGCGGUGGUAACUAUAACCAUCCUAAGGUAGCGAAAUUCCUUGUCGGGUAAGUUCCGACCUGCACGAAUGGCGUAACGACUUCUCAACUGUCUCAACCAUAGACUCGGCGAAAUUGCACUACGAGUAAAGAUGCUCGUUACGCGCGGCAGGACGAAAAGACCCCGGGACCUUCACUACAACUUGGUAUUGAUGUUCGGUACGGUUUGUGUAGGAUAGGUGGGAGACUGUGAAACCUCGACGCCAGUUGGGGCGGAGUCAUUGUUGAAAUACCACUCUGAUCGUAUUGGGCAUCUAACCUCGAACCCUGAAUCGGGUUUAGGGACAGUGCCUGGCGGGUAGUUUAACUGGGGCGGUUGCCUCCUAAAAUGUAACGGAGGCGCCCAAAGGUUCCCUCAACCUGGACGGCAAUCAGGUGGCGAGUGUAAAUGCACAAGGGAGCUUGACUGCGAGACUUACAAGUCAAGCAGGGACGAAAGUCGGGAUUAGUGAUCCGGCACCCCCGAGUGGAAGGGGUGUCGCUCAACGGAUAAAAGGUACCCCGGGGAUAACAGGCUGAUCUUCCCCAAGAGUCCAUAUCGACGGGAUGGUUUGGCACCUCGAUGUCGGCUCGUCGCAUCCUGGGGCUGGAGCAGGUCCCAAGGGUUGGGCUGUUCGCCCAUUAAAGCGGCACGCGAGCUGGGUUUAGAACGUCGUGAGACAGUUCGGUCUCUAUCCGCCGCGCGCGUCAGAAACUUGAGGAAACCUGUCCCUAGUACGAGAGGACCGGGACGGACGAACCUCUGGUGCACCAGUUGUCCCGCCAGGGGCACCGCUGGAUAGCCACGUUCGGUCAGGAUAACCGCUGAAAGCAUCUAAGCGGGAAACCUUCUCCAAGAUCAGGUUUCUCACCCACUUGGUGGGAUAAGGCCCCCCGCAGAACACGGGUUCAAUAGGUCAGACCUGGAAGCUCAGUAAUGGGUGUAGGGAACUGGUGCUAACCGGCCGAAAACUUACAACACCC